ensembl:lincRNA
AUGAGAGCCUGUGCAUUCAAGUGUGACACUGUAGAAAACAAAUCUAAUAUAUUUAUAUUUAAAUUAAUAUAUUAUGUAUUUGGAUACAAAUAUCCAAAGAUUUGGAUAUAUAUGUCUGUGUAUAUUCUAUAUGCUAGGGAAUGUAUGGUUUUAUCUUUCACUAUUUAUAUACAAAAGAAAUAUCAAAUAAGAAAGUAGUUUUUUUAAUUGAAAAGAAGCUAAUUUAGAAUUAGCUAGAACAGAGAGAUUCCAGAGUGAUCUGUUAAAAAGUUUAGACUUAGAAUGUUCUUUUAAAUAUAAGUCAUGUCUGUAUAAUUGCUGGAUUGUCAUGGUAUAUAUGAUGGCCAUGUAGUAAAAUAAUAAAAUAAUAUUUUCAGUAAUGCAGCUAUUAAUUUUACUUGCCAAAAUGCAUAAUCCUAUUACCUAGUUUAAUAUGGUUUUUCAAUCAAAUUUAAAAGCUUAUAUUCUUUGUAGUCUGCCAUUUCAGAAAAGAUACUUUACAAUAAAAUGUAAGAAACAAGGUGUUUUAAUUUUUAACCGAUUUAUUUAUUGUGAAGUGUAAUUACUCUUUUCUCUAGAGUGGAUGUAUAUAUAAACAUGCACACACACACACACACACACCUUCCAAGUGUGUUUUCAAUUUCCAUAGGUUAAAUGGUUAAAUGUAUAAUUUGUACAGGAAUUUCAAGGAUUAAAUACAAUGUAACAUCACUGGCUAAGGUCUAGUAUAUACAGUGAGACUGUUCAGUAUGGAUACAAAAUCUAACAGUAAGUCUCAACAGUCUGUCAGUUAAUGCACUCUUAUUCUAUGUUGUGUUUACUUUGGGAGGUUAGGAACAAGUCUAUACAAUUUCAUUUUAUUUAACACUUUUUAUUCAAGUUGUAUGGUCUAAGAGUAGUUAGUUUUUAUAUUUACCUUACUGCUUUGCUCAUAUUUUACAGAUGUUGACUUCUGUGACAGGCCAAAUAAUGGCCUCCCAGAUGCCCAUGUCCUCAUUCGGUGAACCUGAUAUUCCUUUAUGUGGCACUGAAACUUUGAUGAUGCAUAUAAGUUAAGGAUUUUAAGAAAAAGAGAUUUCCCUAGAUUAUCCAAGUGAGUCCAGUAUCAUAGCAGUGGGUCUUAAAUAAAAGGGAAGAGGUUCAAAGUCAGAAAUAGAUUGGAAGAUGCUUUGUUGCCGGCUUGAAAAUGGUGUAUGAACCCAAGAAUGUGGGUGGCCUAUAGAAGUUAGCAAAGUGAAGGAAGCAGAGCCUCCCCUAGAGUCUCCAGAGGGACUAAGUUCUACUGUCGCUAUCUAAAAUGUCUCCUCAGAAUCUCAUGUAUUUAAAGUUAAUUAGUAAUCAAAUUAUUUAUAAAUUAGAUUUCGAUAGGCACUGUACCCAACAAUAAGGCCUGAUCAGCAGAGAUGAGUCCACGUGGUCAUGAUCUAGAAUGUGUAUUCUCUUCUCUGAAUUGUCUUCUCUCCUCCUCUCCCUGAUCGCCAUGGAUCAAAUGCUUUCCUUACUCUACAGUGCCUUUCCGCCAUUCUAUUUCUGCCUUGGAGUCUGCUGACCAGGGACUGAGCUAUGCGCUAAAAGAAUCUUCCCUUCAAGUUGACGUUGUUACUUAGUUUGUCUCAGUUCCAGGAAAGUGGCCUGCUGAUCCUUAAUUUUGGUCCACUAAGACAGAUUUUGAAUUCUUGACCUCCAGGACUAUAAUAAUUUGUGUUGUAUUGAACCAUUAAGUUUGUGGUAACAAUAUAGAAAAUUGAUAUAAUCUCCACACCUUUAUAUGGUUUAGGAUAUCUCAUAACGUCAUGGUUCAUGGCCAUUUGGACAUACAGGAUAAGAGAGUACUCAGAGUCAGUGUCCAUUUUAAACUCAAGAGGGCCCAGAGGGACAGGACUUACCAAGGCUCCUCAGUAUAAGAAAGUCUCAUAACAACAGCCCUGAGCUGAAGCUUCUGUGGCUUUUUAUUGGUAAACCAAGGAAGUAAGGAGAAAGGACAAAAGGAGGACACCUGCACAGGAAUUGAUGUAAGGGACAGGGGAAGGUCAGGAUGGUUUGUUACAUGACUGACCUUAGGCCAAUAAAUUAGAGUAAUAAAUUGGAGUGUGGGAAGAAUGAGGGCCAGGGCAUACGUUCCUUAAGGCAAUGUAUUUCAUCCUACUUGUACUUGUGGCCGCAUAGGCUACCUUUUAAUCUCUAACCAUGCAUUCUGGGAGGUUUUGGACUUGCGGCCCCUCCCCAAAGUCCCUUAUCUCUGCAUAUCCAUCUCAUAAUUACUUCUGGCCAAUGCCCCUACAUCAUCAUACCCACACUCUGAAUGUGAGUUACUGUGUAAACUAUUCCUAGGUGUUUCAUUUUUUAGAAAUCGUAAGUAGAAUAGAUACAACUUGAUAUUUUUCCUUUUUUGGAGUAGUAGUACUGCAGAUUGAACCCAUGGCUUGGCACUUGGUCUGUCACUAACUUACAGCCCCCAGUUUUCUUAAGACAGGAUCUCACUAAGUUACCCAGACUGACCUGGAACUUGCAAUCCUCCUACCUUAGGCUCCUGAAUAGCUUUGAUUAAAGGCACAUGUCACCGUGUACUUUAUUUUAAUUCUAUAAUCAUUAUUUAAUAGUGUAGUACAUGAUACAUUCUGUUCUUAAAGAGAAGGCACAUUUUAUAAAUAGUUACUUUGUACAUAAGAGAUAUAAUCAUUUCACAAUCUGUGGAGGAAAGGAGAUAGUUAUGUUACAAAAUUGCCUGUGUGUGGCAAUGGAACUACUAAAAGAGUUCUUUAAGAGGAUAGAGUAAUGAAAGAUUUCUUUUGUCUUAUAUUUGAGCUCAGUGAAAACUUCAUAGGAGGAGGAGGGGAAGAAGAAUAUAAUCUGUACUUUAGCACGUGUCCUUGAGAUAGCAAGUCCACUUUGCUUGCGUCUAGGCCAGUCCAAUCAUGUAACUUACUUCAUUGAAGCUGCAUUACCUACAGCACUGUACACAGAUGACACCAAGAGCAAAAGCAUCCAAGACAUUUCUUCUUUCAUCAUAGUAGGUCUACUCUAAGAGUUCAAUAGGGGAACUUGUGUUCUGGCCACUACAUUGGGCCACACGCACUCUGAUCCUUCUGCAAUUGUGUGCAUUUGCUGUGAGACCAAGACUGGAGACCAUAUUGCAGCCACACCUCUUUCUUUUACCUUGACUGCUCUGAGGUACUCAAGACCCCACACUCCUUCCCACUAUUUCAGGACUGUAGAAAGAGCCCACUUGUGCAAG